rnacentral:lncRNA from 1 species
GAAUGUAAUAGAUGGGAAAUGCAAUAGAUAGAUUUAUCUAGUUUGAGAGUUUUGCUAGAUAUGAAAAAUAAAAAGAGAAGUAGGUGUGAUAAACUAUGCUACUGACAAGUAUAAAAUUGAAAUUAUGGACUGUGGACUUUCUUUUGAAUAAGGAGUAAAAUAAUGUCUCAAAUAAGUGCGGCUGUUUCUACCUUUGUGCAGGUAAAGUUUCCAAAGACCUAAAAACUAUGGUCAAAUAAGUACAAAAUCUCCCAACAAAAAGAGAAGUAAAGAAUACCGAGGCGGUAUCUACCAUUGUGUUUACCUGAAAGAUCUACACUGAGCUAUCUCGAGGUUGCAGUGGGAAGACAAAACAAAACUUCUGGAAUGCCUCUUCAUCUGUCCUGUAUCCUUGACAGAAUUCCUGUUUAGUGGUUUUCACAUUUAAGAACAGAUCCAAUUUUGUCAAAUAAAUUCUUACAUGGAACUCCAAUCCAUGAAUUAGAACCAAAGUUAGUAUAAGUCAUUUCAAGUUUAAUAGGUUUAGUUGUUAUUUCUUAAUUUUGUCUUUCAUGGCACAGUGUUGAGAAAUCCUUCAUUUACACAGACAAAAAAUUGCAAAUUUUUUUUUUUUUUUUUUUUUUUUU